rnacentral:rRNA from 1 species
GAGGGGGCUAGCGUUGUUCGGAAUCAUUGGGCGUAAAGGGCGCGUAGGCGGCCGAUCAAGUCGGAGGUGAAAUCCCUCGGCUCAACUGAGGAAUUGCCUUCGAUACUGUUCGGCUUGAGUCCUGGAGAGGGUAGCGGAAUUCCCGGUGUAGCGGUGAAAUGCGUAGAGACCGGGAAGAACACCAGUGGCGAAGGCGGCUACCUGGACAGGUACUGACGCUGAAGCGCGAAAGCUAGGGGAGCAAACAGG